rnacentral:lncRNA from 10 species
AGUCAUUCUUCUGGCAAACAUAUGUGGAAGGCCUCCGGGGUAGCACACCCUUCACCGUGCCCUGGAGAUGCUGGGAUGCGACAAAAAAGUAGGCUUCUCCCAUGAUGAACCUCACGGUUGGAGGCAUCUGUCCACCCAUGUGGUUCCAGACACGUUCAUGUGGCCACCAUGACCCCGUCGGCAUCACAGGGGUAACCAAGAGAGCAGCAAGUUCCUGGGACAGAGGAGACAGAAGGGAAUUUCCAGGUUCUUCAGGACGUUCACAACCACACUGAGAAGCAUCUUUGCAGAUAAGUAUUUAAACUUACCAGCCCAUAGCCUACCAGCCUGCCCUCUUCUGGUCUGUGCAGGAAAGUGUAGUAUCCUAGAAUGCCAAAGUGGGAGGGGAAAUGGGUGAUGUAGCUCAUUCUCUUUUCUACCUCUAUGGAAGAAAGAAAGAGCCUGUCCCCAUUUUGUGGGGUCCCAGAAAGGGUGAUUUUCACACUUCACAUUUGGCGUUAGGGCUAGUAUUUCACAAACAUUACCGUCUGGAACUUUUGAAGGCUGAGUUAAAUGACUUCAUCUUGUGUACUUGUAGAA